UACAGAGACUGCGAGCGUUAUUCGGAUUCACUGGGCGUAAAGGGUGCGCAGGCGGCCAAGUGUGUUAGGCGUGAAAGCCCGAGGCUUAACCUCGGAAUUGCACCUAAAACUACUUGGCUAGAGUACUGGAGAGGGAAACGGAAUUCACGGUGUAGCAGUGAAAUGCGUAGAUAUCAAGUGGAACACCAGUGGCGAAGGCGAGUCUCUGGACAUUUCCUGACGCUGAGGCACGAAAGCCAGGGGAGCAAACGGG
rnacentral:rRNA from 1 species